GACGAACGCUGGCGGCGUGCUUAACACAUGCCAGUCGAACGGAAAGGCCUCUUUCGGGGGGUACUCGAGUGGCGAACGGGUGAGUAACACGUGAGUAACCUGCCCUUGACUUUGGGAUAACUUCAGGAAACUGGGGCUAAUACCGGAUAGGAGCUCCUGCUGCAUGGUGGGGGUUGGAAAGUUUCGGCGGUUGGGGAUGGACUCGCGGCUUAUCAGCUUGUUGGUGGGGUAGUGGCUUACCAAGGCCUUGACGGGUAGCCGGCCUGAGAGGGUGACCGGCCACAUUGGGACUGAGAUACGGCCCAGACUCCUACGGGAGGCAGCAGUGGGGAAUAUUGCACAAUGGGUGGAAGCCUGAUGCAGCAACGCCGUGUGCGGGAUGACGGACUUCGGGUUGUAAACCGCUUUCGCUCAUGACGAAGCUUUGUGUGACGGUAGUGGGUAAAGAAGCACCGGCUAACUACGUG
rnacentral:rRNA from 1 species